AACGAACGCUGGCGGCGCGCCUAACACAUGCAAGUCGAACGCGAAAGUGUAGCAAUACAUGAGUAAAGUGGCGCACGGGUGAGUAACGCGUAGGUAAUCUAGCUUUGUGACCGGGAUAACCAGCCGAAGGGUUGGCUAAUACUGGAUAGAGCGCAUGACCUGUAAGGGGUUGUGCGGGAAAGGGUGGCGUAGCAAUACGCUAUUGCACUGAGAUGAGCCUGCGUCUCAUUAGCUAGUUGGUAGGGUAACGGCCUACCAAGGCUAUGAUGGGUAGCUGUGCUGGGAGGACGAUCAGCCACACUGGAACAGAAACACGGUCCAGACUCCUACGGGAGGCAGCAGUGGGGAAUCUUGCGCAAUGGGCGAAAGCCUGACGCAGCGACGCCGUGUGGGUGAAGAAGGCCUUCGGGUUGUAAAGCCCUGUUGAGUGGGAAAAACGUCAUCUGGAAUAAUACGCCAGGUGAGUGAUGGUACCACUAGAGGAAGCACCGGCUAACUCCGUGCCAGCAGCCGCAGUAA
rnacentral:rRNA from 1 species